ensembl:antisense Gm42567 predicted gene 42567
CCCAGAGGAGCAGUGUCACCGAGCCCCUGCUUGUCACUCGAAAGAAUUAAGCCAGCAGUUUCUAAUGUUCAAGGCGCCCCCAUGGAGCUAGUCUGUUCCCCAUGGAUCAAGUAUACCUCCUGCCCUUCCACUGCCUGCUUCCGUGGUUAUUCUGGACUCUUGCCUGUUUCUUGAGAUAACUGAAGAGAUGGCUCAGCAGGCCAGAGCCCUUGUUGCUCUUGAUGGGGAUGAGAGAUCAGGCCUCAACACUCUCAGGGCUGCGCACAGCCUCCUGUGACUCCAGCCUGAGGAGAAGGCAUGUCCCAAUCAUCUGUGACAGCCCCAGGAGAAUGA